GACGAACGCUAGCUACAGGCUUAACACAUGCAAGUCGAGGGGCAGCAUGGUCUUAGCUUGCUAAGGCCGAUGGUGACCGGCGCACGGGUGAGUAACACGUAUCCAACCUGCCGUCUACUCUUGGACAGCCUUCUGAAAGGAAGAUUAAUACAAGAUGGCAUCAUGAGUUCACAUGUUCACAUGAUUAAAGGUAUUCCGGUAGACGAUGGGGAUGCGUUCCAUUAGAUAGUAGGCGGGGUAACGGCCCACCUAGUCUUCGAUGGAUAGGGGUUCUGAGAGGAAGGUCCCCCACAUUGGAACUGAGACACGGUCCAAACUCCUACGGGAGGCAGCAGUGAGGAAUAUUGGUCAAUGGGCGGAAGCCUGAACCAGCCAAGUAGCGUGCAGGAUGACGGCCCUAUGGGUUGUAAACUGCUUUUAGGCGGGGGUAAAGGGGCGGACGCGUUCCGCCUUUGCAAGUACCGCCAGAAAAAGGACCGGCUAAUUCCGUGCCAGCAGCCGCGGUAAUACGGAAGGUCCGGGCGUUAUCCGGAUUUAUUGGGUUUAAAGGGAGCGUAGGCGGGCUAUUAAGUCAGCUGUGAAAUCCGGCGGCUCAACCGUCGGCCUGCAGUUGAUACUGGUGGUCUUGAGUGCGCGCAGGGGCGUUGGAAUUCAUGGUGUAGCGGUGAAAUGCUCAGAUAUCAUGAAGAACUCCGAUCGCGAAGGCAGAUGCCCGGAGCGCAACUGACGCUGAGGCUCGAAAGUGCGGGUAUCANACAGG
rnacentral:rRNA from 1 species